rnacentral:rRNA from 1 species
AUACGGGAGGCAGCAGUAGGGAAUAUUGGACAAUGGGUGAGAGCCUGAUCCAGCCAUGCCGCGUGCAGGAAGAAGGCCUUCUGGGUUGUAAACUGCUUUUGCCGGGGGAUAAAAGAUCCCUGCGGGGAGAAUUGAAGGUACCCGGUGAAUAAGCCACGGCUAACUACGUGCCAGCAGCCGCGGUAAUACGUAGGUGGCAAGCGUUGUCCGGAUUUAUUGGGUUUAAAGGGUGCGUAGGCGGUUCUUUAAGUCAGUGGUGAAAUACAGCCGCUUAACGGUUGAGGUGCCAUUGAUACUGAAGAACUUGAGUACAGUCGAGGUAGGCGGAAUUGACGGUGUAGCGGUGAAAUGCUUAGAUAUCGUCAAGAACACCGAUAGCGAAGGCAGCUUACUAGGCUGUAACUGACGCUGAGGCACGAAGGUGCGGGGAUCAAACAGGAUUAGAUACCCGGGUAC